rnacentral:rRNA from 1 species
UGCAGUCGAACGAGAAAAUCACUUCGGUGGUGACUAAAGUGGCGCACGGGUGAGUAACGCGUAGACAAUCUGCCCUUCAGUCUGGGACAACUUUUCGAAAGGAGAGCUAAUACCGGAUAACAAUGUUUUACAUAAGUUAAAUAUUUGAAAGCUUUAUGUGCUGAAGGAGGGGUCUGCGUCCCAUUAGCUAGUUGGUGAGGUAAAGGCUUACCAAGGCAACGAUGGGUAGCGGGUUUGAGAGGACGAUCCGUCACACUGGAACUGAGACACGGUCCAGACUCCUACGGGAGGCAGCAGUGGGGAAUAUUGCACAAUGGAGGAAACUCUGAUGCAGCAAUGUCGCGUGAGUGAAGAAGGCCUUUGGGUCGUAAAGCUCUUUUAUGGGGGAAGAUGAUGACGGUACCCCAGGAAUAAGCACCGGCUAACUACGUGCCAGCAGCCGCGGUAAUACGUAGGGUGCGAGCGUUGUUCGGAAUUACUGGGCGUAAAGGGCGCGCAGGCGGAAUAGCAAAUCGGAGGUGAAAGCCCGGGGCUCAACCCCGGAGGGUCUUUCGAAACUGCUAAUCUAGAGAGGGUCAGGGGCCAGCAGAAUUCCUGGUGUAGAGGUGAAAUUCGUAGAUAUCAGGAGGAAUACCGGUGGCGAAAGCGGCUGGCUGGGGCCACUCUGACGCUGAGGCGCGAAAGCGUGGGGAGCAAACGGGAUUA